UACGUAGGGUGCAAGCGUUGUCCGGAAUUAUUGGGCGUAAAGAGCUCGUAGGCGGUUUGUCGCGUCUGCUGUGAAAACCCGAGGCUCAACCUCGGGCCUGCAGUGGGUACGGGCAGACUAGAGUUCGGUAGGGGAGACUGGAAUUCCUGGUGUAGCGGUGAAAUGCGCAGAUAUCAGGAGGAACACCAGUGGCGAAGGCGGUGCUCGUGGGCCGGUACUGACGCUGAGGAGCGAAAGCGUGGGGAGCAAACAGG
rnacentral:rRNA from 1 species